UAAGGAAUAUUGGUCAAUGGACGCAAGUCUGAACCAGCCAUGCCGCGUGAAGGAUGAAGGUCCUCUGGAUUGUAAACUUCUUUUAUCUGGGACGAAAACGGGAUUUUUAUCUCAAUUGACGGUACCAGAGGAAUAAGCACCGGCUAACUCCGUGCCAGCAGCCGCGGUAAUACGGAGGGUGCGAGCGUUAUCCGGAUUUACUGGGUUUAAGGGGUGCGUAGGUGGGCUUAUAAGUCAGUGGUGAAAUCUCCGAGCUUAACUUGGAAACUGCCGUUGAUACUAUAGGUCUUGAAUUAUCUGGAGGUAAGCGGAAUAUGUCGUGUAGCGGUGAAAUGCUUAGAUAUGACAUAGAACACCAAUUGCGAAGGCAGCUUACUACAUAUAAAUUGACGCUGAGGCACGAAAGCGUGGGGAUCAAACA
rnacentral:rRNA from 1 species